UACGUAGGGUGCGAGCGUUAAUCGGAAUUACUGGGCGUAAAGCGUGCGCAGGCGGUUUGCUAAGACCGAUGUGAAAUCCCCGGGCUUAACCUGGGAACUGCAUUGGUGACUGGCAGGCUUUGAGUGUGGCAGAGGGAGGUAGAAUUCCACGUGUAGCAGUGAAAUGCGUAGAGAUGUGGAGGAAUACCGAUGGCGAAGGCAGCCUCCUGGGCCAACACUGACGCUCAUGCACGAAAGCGUGGGGAGCAAACAGG
rnacentral:rRNA from 1 species